UUUCAAAAACUUGAUCUCAAACCAAAAAACGUUUGAAAGGUGCUUUCAAAUACAAGGUCCAAAAGAUGCUUUCAAAAACUUGAUCUCAAACCCAGAAACAAGGUUCUUAAAAGGUGCUUUCAAAGACUUGUUCUCAAACAAAAAAAAGUUCAAAAUGUGCUUUUAAACACUUGUUCUGAAACCCAGAAACAUGGUUCAAAUGGUGCUUUCCAAGGUAUGAUUUCAAACAAGCAAACAAAAAAGAUUCUAAAAAGGUGCUUUUCAAAAUCCUGAUCUCAAACCAAAUACAAGGUCCAAAAGGUGCUUUCAAAAACUUGAUCUUAAACCAAAAACAAGGUUUUAAAAGGUGCUUUAAAAAGACUAUCUCAAAACCAGGAACGUGGUUCUAAAAGGUGCUUUAGAAGACUUGAUCUUGAACCCAGAAACGUGGUCCAAAAGGUGAUUUUAAAGACUUGUUCUACAACAGAAGGGUUUUAAAAGGUGCUUUCAAAGACUUGUUCUCAAACAAAAUAGGUUCAAACGGUGCUUUUAAAGACUUGUUCUCAAACCCAGAAACAUGGUUCAGAAGGUGCUUUCCAAGGUAUGAUUUCAAACAAACAAAAAAGAUUCUAAAAAGGUGCUUUUCAAAAUCUUGAUCUCAAACCAAAUACAAGGUCCAAAAGGUGCUUUCAGAAACUUGAUCUCAAACCAAAAACAAGGUUUUAAAA